rnacentral:rRNA from 1 species
AAAGCUUGAUCCAGCAAUUUCGCAUGUAUGAAGAAGACCACUAAACGUUGUAAAGUACUAAGCUCGGGGAUAAUAAUGACGGUACCCGAGUAAAAAGCCCUGACUAACUUCGUGCCAGCAGUCGCGGUAAAACGGAGAGGGCAAGUGUUAUUCGUAUUGACUGGGUGUAAAGGGUACGUAGGCGGUUAUUUAAGUUAUAAAAAAAAGCUAUAUCUUUUUAUAAUACUAUAUGACUAGAGUUAAAAAGGGGAUGGCGGUACCUCCAGUUUAGAAGUGACAUUCGUUUGAGAUUGGGGGGACCAACAAUAGGCGACGGCUGCUUUCCAUUUUUAUACUGACGCUGAGGUACGAAAGCAUGGGGAGCGAACAGGAUUAGAGACCCUGGUAGUCCAUGCCCUGACCUAUGAAUAUUAAUCGUCCAUUUAGAUAGUGGAUGACUAAGCUAACGCGAAAAUAUUCCACCUGAGGACUACGGCCGCAAGGUUAAAACUCAAAGAAAUUGGCGGAAGAUCGUUUAAGCGGUGGAGUAUGUGGUUUAAUUCGAUAAUACGCGAAAAACCUUACCAAUCUUUGUGCACAUUUUCGGUUCUACAAAACUUGUAGCCCAAAUUGAGGUGGUCAAUUUGGGCUAGCUAUGUGCCAGGCGUUGCAUGGCUGUCGUAAGCUCGUGUCUUAGGAUGUGUGGUUAACUCCAUGAACGGGCGCAACCCUUGUUCCUAGUUAGAUUAGGAAUGAAAACAGUGAAAACUGCUUUUGAGGAUGAGGAGUAUGUCAAGUCAAUAUGACCUUUAUAGAUUGGGCUACACACGUACUACAACGGUAGUUACAAUGAGAAACAAUGCCGUGAGGCGGAGUAAAUCUCUAAAACCUACCCUAGUUCGGAUUAUUUUUUGAAAUAAAAAUAUGAAGCCGGAAUCGCUAGUAAUCGCAAAAAAGAAUGUUGCGGUGAAUAUUAAGACCGAUCUUAGUACACACCGCCCGUCACGCCAUGGAAGCUUGUUUGGUUUGAAGAUAUUAAGUCACAUGUUUCGAAGUGAUUAUUCCUUAAUAAGUUCAUGUUAUAUGUGUUACUGGUAUCGACAAUUAUAUAGGUAACUGGGGUGAAGUC